AUUGAACGCUGGCGGCAGGCCUAACACAUGCAAGUCGAGCGGAGCGGCGGACGGGUGGGUAAUGACUAGGAAUCUGCCUGGCAGUGGGGGAUAACGUACGGAAACGGGAGCUAAUACCGCACCCUAGCAGCUGAGCCUAGGCGGGAUUUGCUGGGUGGUGGGGUAAGGGCCGACCAAGGCGAGGAUCCGUAACUGGGCUGAGAGGAUGAUCAGUCACACUGGAACGUAGACACGGUCCAGACUCCUACGGGAGGCAGCAGUGGGGAAUAUUGGGCAAUGGGCGGAAGCCUGAUCCAGCCAUGCCGCGUGUGUUAAGAAGGCCUUCGGUUUGUAAAGCACUGUUAGUUGGGAUGCGGUACCAGCAGAAUAAGCACCGGCUAACUUCGUGCCAGCAGCCGCGGUAAUUC
rnacentral:rRNA from 1 species